rnacentral:rRNA from 1 species
CCUCGGGUGGCAGCAGUGGGGGAUCUUGCACAAUGGGCGAAAGCCUGAUGCAGCCACGCCGCGUGAGGGAAGACGGUUUUCGGAUUGUAAACCUCUGUCUUCGGUGAAGAAACAAAUGACGGUAACCGAGGAGGAAGCCACGGCUAACUACGUGCCAGCAGCCGCGGUAAUACGUAGGUGGCAAGCGUUGUCCGGAAUUACUGGGUGUAAAGGGAGCGCAGGCGGGGAGACAAGUCAGCUGUGAAAACUAUGGGCUUAACCCAUAAACUGCAGUUGAAACUGUUUUUCUUGAGUGGAGUAGAGGUAGGCGGAAUUCCGAGUGUAGCGGUGAAAUGCGUAGAUAUUCGGAGGAACACCAGUGGCGAAGGCGGCCUACUGGGCUCUAACUGACGCUGAGGCGCGAAAGUGUGGGGAGCAAACA